UCCUGAGUGGAGAGCAGAGAAUAGAAGCAGACAUCAGCUUCAGUGUGGAGAAUUAAAGUGAGGAACUCUCAACAGGUCACAUAACAGAAACAUAAGAUGGGUAUACUGAAAUAGAAAUGCAUGAAAUGAUGUCUCCUGAAAUGGGAUGCUUGGAAAGAAAAGCUAGACAGACCUCAGUCAUGCAGCAGACAAGAACGGGGUUGCCCAUUCUGAACAUUCUGAACACCCAUGGCAACAUUUAUCACAUUAUGCUCUAGCUAGAUGGUUCUGCCUCUACUACCGUAUGAGCUCCUGCUAUGGAGCACCAUGUCUUAUUCAGCCUUGUAAAUCCUCUGCACUGCACGAAAGCCCUGCUACACAGUAGAUAAUUCCCAGUAUUUGCUGAAUGACAAAAAUUGAUUUAUGACUAAAGAUGCAUGCUCACUUGGAAAGGAAAUAGGGAGAAAAGCAAGAAAAAAAUUAAGAAAAUUUACAUUUAUCAAGCGGCCAUAAUGUGUCAGAAGGAGAGUCAGAAAGUGAUGUUACAAAACAGUUGUCAAAGAAAGAGUUGAUCAACGAGUAUGGAAUCAACUAAGGUAGAAAAGAAGGUGUAUUGGGCAUUUUAUAAAUAACAAAUUGUUAUAUUUCUGGAUCUUUUUGAUGUUUGUAUUUGCCAG
rnacentral:lncRNA from 1 species